ensembl:lncRNA
UAUAUAUAUAUAUAUAUAUAUAUACAUACAUUAGAAGGCACUCUCAUCAUCUGCAAUUUGGCAAAAACCUCAGCUAUCCAUCAUCCGUCGUGCCGUACUUUUCUCUCUUCAUCGAUCAGCAGUCAUCACAUUCACUUCCGGUCAUUGGCUCGGAUUCUCUUCAUUCUCUAAUAUUCAUUUGUUAGAUAUCUCGAGCCAACGUUUUCAAACAGGAAGUGUAUUUCCCAGAGAUUCAUUCAUCCGAGUGUGUUCUCAUCUGACUAAAGAACCACACCGAGGACGAGAACACACCACACGUUCUGUUCAAUUGUAGAUCAGUGGUUUUCAAAGUGGGGGCCGCCAGGGGGCGCCCAGGGUGCCUCAACAAUUUGGUGUGAAAAAUAAAUUCUCACUCUCAGACAACCACACACACACAAUCAAUUUCUAAUGUAAUGUAAUGUAAAGAUGUAAGAUGUAAUUAUUAAUUUUUAAAAAAAGAGGAUAUAUUCAGAAGUCUGUAUUUUUAAUGUGUUUUAAAGACAUCUUGCAAAAGGGGGGCCUCGGUCAAAUGUUACUGCCAUUUGGGGGGCCUUGUCCUGGAAAAGUUUGGGAACCUCUGCUGUAGAUCAUGUGUUGUUCAUUCAUAAUGUUUUUGUCAUUUUUUCACAAAAAUCAAACUUGAUCUGCGAUUGUGCGCGCAACACUGAAAAGUCACAUGACCAAAGUUAGCAACCACGAUUGAUCAGCUUAAGCUCCGCCCAUGUCGUAUUGACUGACGACCUGUUUGUAAAUCAGUAAAAAUCAGGAUGUUCUCAUGGCAUGUUCUGACACAGAGAUAAGCGUGUGUGUGAAUUUAAGUAGCGUAGCAUAUCAUAGCAUAGCGUAGCAUAGCAUCUCGCCUACCAGAGUGUCCAGGAUGGACAGAUGGACAUCCAGCAUGAACAUUCUGACAGGCUGAGCUAGGGCUCUCUGCAGGCUGUACACCGGCUUCAUCUCCGUUCCUCCAAUCAGUUCUUCAUCCUUCAGGCCUGCUGUGAUUUAUCCUCCUACUGUUUAUUGCUCUUCUCUUCUCUCUUUCUCUCACCGUCUUCCCUUCUUAUGCAUUAAGUUAUAAAUAAAACGAAAAACAAACAAGACUACAAGGCUUUGCUUCCUUCUCUCUCUUCUCUCACCUUGCUACUACUGUAACAGGUGGCAAGCUGAGGCUUGUCUAAUGCACUGUAAUGCGCUCUCUCUCACACACACAUACACACACACCCUCUAUGAAUAAAAGGUUUCCAGGAAUGCGGAGAUGUGGAAAGAAGCAGGUAUUCAUAACACACACACACACACACACACACACACACACACACAAACAAAGUGUGUGAGAGUACUUCUAGACACAAUUCAAUAAAAUAAAUAAAGAAAAGAAAACAAUUUUGUACCAUUUUAUGAGCUUGUACUUGAUUUUGUGGGGUCUAACUGUGUGUGUGUGUGUGUGUGUGUGUGUGUGUGUGUGUGUGUGUGUGUUUCCAGUUGUUCCAAACCCUGAUGUAAACACAGGACAGAAAUAGAGGUCAGAUGCCUGUUUACAGUCCAAGGAUUUAGCAUUUAGCCUUUAAAGCAUACCCUUAAGAAUUUAGCUAGAUAUUUUCUUUACACGAAAACAUCAUAAAGUCAUUCUCACAAAUAAAAUGACGUGAAUCCUAUAAACAUGUCCACUUUAAACAACAUUCCAGCAAAGGAUUAAGAAAACUAAAGCCAGCUCGCUUCCAACAGAUUCUGAGAUAAGAAACAAAUGAACAAAGUUUUGCUAUUGUUCACCUGUUGGCUAUUUUUGCUAACAGCAACACUUCAGUGUUACAUUACACCUGAAUUCCACUCAAACAAACAAAGAAAAACACCGAUUUGAUUAUCCAAAGACAAUCAGAUCGACCUUGUGCUAAGAUCUUAGCCACCAUUUUCUACCACUCAUGCUAACUGGUGGUUAGCAGAGGGUUACUAGCUUCCAGACUAGCUGCUAGUUUGCAGGCUCGGGUGUAAUCCUCUGCCCUUCUAUUAUACAAGAACCACAAAAGCAAGUGCAUAUAGUGUAAAUUACAAAACAAAGCCAGUGAGAUAUGCUAAACGAUAAAUGACAGAUUCUGAACAGGAUUAUAAGAAAAAUUGUAGAUAUUCCUAGCAAGAGCAAGUUUUCUGAGGAAGUGAGGAAGAGUGAGAAAGAGUGAAGGACGGUUUAAGGUCAUCGUGAUUGAGAAAAGGGAAAUCCUUUUCCUCAGAUGACGCAGAUCGUAGAUCCUAAUGCUAACGACCAUGUCCCUGAACACACACCUUCCUGCCAAAACAGGAAGUGAACUUUCACCUGCCUAGAAAAUUUCUGUGCAUAAUACAAAUCACUCUCCUUAAAGCUAAUUAAUGUUUGCUAGCAUGCUUGCUAAACGUAACCACAGAAACAACUUCUGAAUAAAUUUGGUAGAUUUAUUCCACAGUAUUCGUGACGCUUUUGUCUGCCACGUUUUUUUUGUUUGUUUGUUUGUUUUUGUAUUAUGGGAUAGCAUUCGCAGAAGAAGUGUUAAAAACGAUUAACUGAAACCUUCACUGUUAACAUUCUAGUAUUUUAGCAGUUUUAUAUCAAAAGACAGACACACAUCCAGUCAGAAUAGUAUGUGUGUGUGUGUGUGUGUGUGUGUGUGUGUGUAAAAUGUUGGACAGAUAGAUGAUAGUAAUGUCGGCAGAAUAAAAGGAAAACAGCAUGUGUGUAUAUGGUUGCUGUAAUAAAUAACUACACACCCACACACACCCACACACACGCACACAGAGAUCAAAGUUCAAGGCUAUGAGUUAAAUUAGUUUAGACCAGGCACUGCUUACACACACAUUCAAUAUACGGUAUAAGACCAAGUCAUAAAAGCUCAAUCACAUUUUAUCCAGAGGAAUGGAAAUACACACACGCACCCACACACACACACACACAAUUAAAAAAUUCUCAAUGUAUAUUCUCAGAAAUAUUUUUUUAAAAUAUAGAAUCAUGCAUAUAUCAACAAUAUUAAUCAUGAAGUAACAAAAAAUCUGUUGAAUCUGGGUGCCAAAACUUUUGGUAUUGGUGGACAGAAGGAGAAAAAAAUAACUGUCAUUAUGAAAUAAAACUUGCUUGAUCGCUUAAUAGGUGAACAUUAAAGUUACCCAAUUUUCAUAAAAGACAUUUUUAUUUUUUAACAAUUUUGCUUAAAUCUGAAAGAAAUUUCAGACUUUUUCAGGGAUUUUGUUGCAUUCUUUUAAGAAAUAUCUGAAUAAUCUGAGUUAGUGCUGUCGCAUCAUUUAAAAAAGCCAAUCAGAGUCCAAAAUUAAAAUAUGCACCAAAUACAGUCUCUGAAACAUCAGCUUACCAGGAAAAGGGAUGGGGCUUGGAAUGUUAAGGGAGGGGCCCUGAUUUGCAUAUUCAUAAAAUCUGUAAAGGUAAAACUGUAGCUGCUUCAGUGUGUUUUUUCUGUCAAAUCUCUCUCUCUCUCUCUCUCUCUCUCUCUCUCUCUCUCACACACACACACCCACACACACACAUACACUUUCUGUGCCCACUGUACAAUAUUACCCAGGAUGCACUGCAGGAGGCCUACCAGGAGACAGAUGGAGCAUCAAGUGCAGUGAACAGCAACAUAUGAGCUCGAUUUGCUCAAUUACACCUCGUUACACACACACAUACACACACACAUCUCAGACAGUAAAUCAUCUCCAUCUGUCCAUGACAUCAUCAUGAGUUCAAAACAAAAAGACAGAUAUGAAUCACACAAAGAGCAGAGUGAAGAAGAGGGUGUGGCCUGUGUGUCUGGCAGUCACAGUGAAGGAGGCGUGGCCUGUGUGUCUGGCAAUGAAAUGCUAAUUAAUCUGAUGAGUGAGAACAGCAAUAUGACACACACACAUCCUGACUGAUAGAUCCAAUAUGCCUUUGAGUGUGUGUUUAUGUGUGUGUGUGUGUGUGUGUGUGUGUGUGUGUGUGUGUGCGCAAACAAAUUGACUCAGACAUAAUCAGAAACUCAGGGCAAGAUCGUAUUAAGACCGUUAAUUAAUGACCCAAAACUUCACACUCCAACAAGAAGAGACAAGCUAAUGUGUGUGUUUGUUUGUGUGUUUGCUUGUGUGUGUGUGUGUGUUCGUGUGUGUGUGUGUGUAUGUGUGUCUUUCAUGUGAAAAGAUAGAAACACCCUUCAGUGUAAAUGUCUGUCUAUAUUGGAUCUCUGGCAGCUCAAUAAUAUUACACAAAUAGAUAGAGAACAGACACGCACACACGCACAAACACACACACACACACACACACACACACACACACACACACACACACUGCAUGAAUGGCUUUUGUGUCCUGACAACAAAGACAUUGGCUGAGACAGAAAAAAACGAUCAUUUCUUUCUCUGAAAGACUGAAAUCACAAUGAUGGACAUUCUGGCUCACACACACACACACACACACACACACACACACACACACACAAAGUUAGAAUAAUCAAAGGAAUAAAGAAAAACAAAACAAAAAGAGAACCAUGUGACUCUCAGACAACACCUGGGAGAGUAAGGUGGUUUUGUGGUCUGGCGUGUUGAAUGAAUUAUUGAGUUGCUGUGAGGUGUUUAGACCACCUUAAACACACAUACAACACACAUCUAAUCUACACAUCUGAAACAAAACCACUAACACUGCUGCUAGAGGGAAAAUCCAGCUGUUUGCAUCUGUGUGUGUGUGUGUGUGUGUGUGUGUGUGUGUGUGUUUGUGUGAGGAAAACAGCUCAUCCUCACAGCUGCUGUCUCAAUUUUGCACAACAGUGUGUUCCUGAAACUCUUUGCACAGUUCUGCUCUCUCUCUCUCACACACACACACACACACACACACACACACACACACACACACACACAAAUAUUAACGCAAACACUGACUCAAUAAAAUACACUAAUCAUAACACUCAUACAAUUACAUACACACAAAUACAAUGCUAAAAACUGUAAUACACAUACACAUCAGUACACAGUAACACAAUAAUACACACUGUGAUAUAUACUGUAUCAUACAUACACACACACACACACAUACACAGAGAGUACCCUGUGAAUAGUGUUAUUGAGCUGUAUAGCGCAGGAAUGGUGCACACCCUGGUGGUCAGUGGUGGUAGUAACACACACAGUAAGUGUUUAACACACUGAGUGUUCAGGUUUUUCUGUCUGUCCAGGACAGUGAUUAAACAUUUUACACAACAUUUAUUAAACAAUUAAUUCAGUAAUAAUAAUAAAAAACAAUCCUUAGGGAAAAAAAGCACCAAAGUGUCCCAUGCUUAAAGUGUCCCAUCACCAAUCUGCCCCGACCCCUAUCUGCCCUACCCCCAAACUGCCCCACGCCAAAUCUGCCCCAUAGUCAACAUGUCCUGAUCGCAGAUGAAUUGGAAAAAUGUGAUGGAUGUCACUAACCUCAUCUACCUGCUGCACAUUCAGCUUUCACACAUUUCUACAAUUUAUAUUCAGCUUCAUUCCAUAUUGUGUAAACAUUUACUGAAUGUUUAAACAUUUCAACCUAACAGAAAAGAAGAGGACAAAGAAAGAAAGAAAGAAAGAAAGAAAAACUACCGUUCUGGUCUCUCUGCCUCAGAGAUUAGGAGAUUUGGUACUGUACUCAGUCUCCAUAGUAACUGCGAUGUGUUUGGGGUGCGCACACACACACACACACACACACACACUCCUGAACAGCUGGAGGCAAACCGGUACCUCAGGAGGCUCCAUUGCCAGAGUUUUUGUCUGAAUUGUGGCUGUUUUUAUUUUUCAUAUGAACAGAGACGUAAAGUUCUCAAUCCUGCACUCAUCUUCAUGUAGAAAUGUGUGUGAUUAUAACAGCUUUAUUAUUAUUAUCUUUCUAACAAGAUAAAUAAAUAUUGUGUCAAUAUAUAAAUGUAUAAUAUAAACGUAAAUAUUAUGUAAAUAGAUGAAAAUGUGUUUAUGUGUUCAUUCACUCCUCUGUUCAUGAUCUGUGUUAUCCAGGUCGGAGUCAGAGUCGGAGUCAGAGUCAGAGCAGAGUCAGAGUGGAGACAGAGUCGGAGUGGAAUCAGAGUGGACUCAGAGUCAGAGGGGAGACAGAGUCGGAGUGGAGUCAGAGUGGAGACAGAGACAGAGUCAGAGUGGAGUCAGAGUCGGAGUGGGGUUGGAGUCAGAGAGGAAUCAGAGUCAGAGUGGAGUUGGAGUCAGAGUGGAGUUGGAGUCAGAGUGGAGUUGGAGUCAGAGUGGAGUCAGAGUCAGAGUGGAGUCAGAGUCAGAGUGAAGACAGAGUCAGAGUCGGAGUGGAGUCAGAGUCGGAGUGGAGUCAGAGUCAGAGUGGAGUCGGAGUGGAGUCGGAGUCAGAGUGGAGACAGAGUCAGAACGGAGACAGAGUCAGAACAGAGUCAGAGUGGAGUCAGAGUCAGAGUGGAGACAGAGUGGAGUCAGAGUCGGAGUGGAGUCAGAGGAAAAGUGGAGUUGGAGUCAGAGUGGAAUCAGAGUCAGAGUGGAGUUGGAGUCAGAGUGGAAUCAGAGUCAGAGUGGAGUCAGAGUCAGAGUGGAGACAGAGUGGAGUCAGAGUCAGAGUGGAGUCAGAGUCUUAGUGGAGUUGGAGUCAGAGUGGAAUCAGAGUCGGAGACGGAGUCAGAGUGGAGUUGGAGUCAGAGUGGAAUCAGAGUCAGAGUCGGAGUGGAGUUGGAGUCAGAGUGGAGUCAGAAUCAGAGUGUAGUCAGAGUCGAGUCAGAGUGGAGUCAGAGUGGAGACAGAGUCGAGUCAGAGUGGAGACAGAGUCGAGUCAGUGUUGGAGCGGAGUCAGAGUCAGAGUCGGCGCGGAGUCAGAGUCGGAGUGGAGUCGGAGUCAGAGUGGAGUCUGAGUCGGAAUGGAGUUGGAGACAGAGUGGAAGUGGAAUCAGAGUCAGAGUCAGAAUGGAGUUGGAGUCAGAGUGGAAUCAGAGUCAGAGUCGGAGUGGAGUUGGAGUCAGAGUGGAGUCAGAAUCAAAGUGGAGUCAGAGUGGAGUCAGAAUCAGAGUGGAGUCAGAGUGGAGACAGAGUCGAGUGGGAGUCGGAGCGGAGUCAGAGUCGGGGCGGAGUCAGAGUCAGAGUGGAAUCAGAGUCAGAGUCGGAGUGGAGUUGGAGUCAG